AUUGAUUUUGCAGCAAAACACAAUAUAACAGCUGACAUUGAGGUUAUUUCGAUGGAUUAUGUCAAUACGGCAAUGGAGCGGCUCGCCAAGGCUGAUGUUCGGUAUCGAUUUGUCAUUGAUAUUGCAAACACCUUGGCCGCCACCAAACCUUGAAGAAUCAGAAUCAGAAUCAGAUUGGUGUCUUCAAUUCACAACUUUGUUCCAUGAUCCACUUUGCUAUAUGUAAUGCUCCCUCGAUCAUUACACUCUUUUAGCGCUUAAAUUACUUUUAAUUUCCAGUUACAUCACCCUAAUUAUGUCGUGAUUGCCAAAAAACUAUAAAUGUUAAUGAAAUAAAACAUUGUUCAUAUAAAAUAUUUAGCAUAUGUACCUUUCACCAAUUGUCCAGUUGAAAAGUUUGUUUUGUUCUAAAUCACAUAUAGAGUUUUGCUCUCAUGCGGCACUUUUCAUUUUUUUUUUCUUCUCGUACCAACACUAUCAAGUCGUAUAAUUCAAUAAAAUUAGUAUAGAUGGCAGAAAUCUAUAAAAUCAUAUUUGCAAAGGUAUGUAGCAACAGCAGCGUCUAGGUUCCUCUGACCUUGAACAAAAAUAUACGAUUGUCCUAAAUGGCUCAUGAAUUCAUAUCACAAUUUUCAACGCUGCAUAUAUGUUUUCCAACAGAAAAUUUCUCUGGAUUAGGGUUUAGUGUUAUGUUAAAUUUUUAUCGAGUAUUGAAUCAAUCAUUGAAUUAAUAGUUAAAAUUGUUUUAAAUUUUUAAAUUUUUACAAUUUCUCCUAUUAAUAACUAUUGAUUCAAUAUCCAGUAAAAAUUUAAUUUAGCACGUAAUCCUUAUUCGACUUUGCAACCAAAGAAAACAAACAAAACUUCAUCGGUCAAUGGAAGCAUUUUCUUAGGACCUCACGGUUCACCCCCAAUGUUGAUGCAUGAUGGAUGAUUCUAUCAAGAUGAAUAUAGUUCAAGUUUUACCACCCCAUCAAAUCUAUCAUGAAAUUUCAUUUAUUCUUUUUUUUUUUUGUAGAUCUUAAUAUGUACUAUGAUUGAAAAAGAGAGAGAGAGAGAGAAUAGUAAAAUCCAUAUCUAAAAUGGUAUGUGGUAUGUAUAUAGUAGUACAUGAUCUAUAAUGGUAUGUAUAUGAUGUACAUGAUAUGAUCUAAGCUCUGCUUGUGCUACCUAUAUUUUAGUGUUAGUAUAUAAUUAGAAUUUAACUACCUUUAUUUUUUAAUUUGUUAAUUACCAAUCACUUUAAUAAAAUAUAAAACUUACUAGGGGUGGUAAUAUGGGUCAGGAUUCGUUUAUUCGAUUCGAUUCGAUGCGAAUUAAAUGGGUUUGGGUUUGAAAAAAAUUGAUUCGUUUAAUAAAUGGAUGAAUUCGAUUUGAUUCGUUAAUUAAACGAAUCGAAUGCGGGUUUGAAAAUUUACAUUCGUUUAUUCGUUUAGAAUUCAUUUAAUAAAUGGGUCAUAAACGAAUCGAAUACAGGUCGAUUCGUUUAUUAUUCGUUUAAUUAAAUUACUUUUUUAUCCUUAAAUUUAUUUGAAAGCUUUUUAAAAUUUGAAGGUUAAUAUUGUAAUUUUAAGCAAAUAACAAAAAAAAAAAAAACCAAAGUAGCGGAAACCCAAAUGCUAAAUCCCUAAAAAUUCUCCCCUCACUCAGCCGCUCUCGUUGCUCUAUGCCUCUCUCACACGAAUCACACUCACCCACCCAUACCAAGUGAAGCAAUCAAGCAACAAAAACAACCGCCGGUAGCCACUGUCAUUAACUCACAGGGAACUGACGAUUACAACCACCAUCGUUCAUCUAUCGUCGAUUGAGCUUGAGGGACGCAGCCACGCGAGUGCAGCCCGCGACUCGGCAGCAACCCAGGAGCAUCAGCUGCGCAACGUAUUAGCAGCCACUCGAACCCACAGUAGUGGCUAACCCGUGCGGCGGUGCAGCAGCAGCAAACCCAGGCGACUGCGACCCGAACUAGUGCCCAGGCGACCCGAAUCAACAAGCCAUCACCAACUCAGAGUAAUAUCAUGAGAUUAUGGUUGAAUUAUUGAGAAAUUUUGUAUUGUAGAAUAUUAUGAGAUUAUGGUUUAGAAAAUGUUUGGGAAAUUUACAAAAUUAGCCAUAAAACUUUUACGUUUUUCAACUUUAACCCCCCAAAGUUUUUUCUAUCAUAACUAGCCAAACACCUUAUGUUUGGACUACAUUACCCUCAUCACUUUCAUCAAAUUUACAAAGCCAUGCCACUUUUUCAAAUUUACAAAGCCAUGGCACCUGUUCCAUUGCUUGUCGCGCAAAAACCCAUGGAUUUUAUGGAGUACAUGAUUUUGGAUUUGAUUUGUCUCGUCGUAAGCUUCGAAACGGUAUAUUAUACGCCUAAAACGAACAUAUAUAGCUCAAGUUAUGGCUUUCGAAACAUAUAUGAAAUUUAGUGAGACAGGCAAGUGGGACAGGUGCUUGUCGCACAUAAACGCACUGCAUUUAUGUGCGAUAGGCACCUGUCCCACUGCUUGUCGCACAUAAACUCACGGCGUUUAUGGAAUGCAUGAUUUUGGAUUUGAUUUGUCUCGUCGUAAGCUUCGAAACGGUAUAUUAUACGCCUAAAACGGACAUAUAUAGCUCAAGUUAUGGCUUUCGAAACAUAUAUGAAAUUUAGUGAGACAGGCACCUGUCCCACUUGCCUGUCUCACUAAAUUUCAUAUAUGUUUCGAAAGCCAUAACUUGAGCUAUAUAUGUCCGUUUUAGGCGUAUAAUAUACCGUUUCGAAGCUUACGACGAGACAAAUCAAAUCCAAAAUCAUGCAUUCCAUAAACGUCGUGAGUUUAUGUGCGACAAGCAGUGGGACAGGUGCCUAUCGCACAUAAAUGCAGUGCGUUUAUGUGCGACAGGCACCUGUCCCACUUGCCUGUCUCACUAAAUUUCAUAUAUGUUUCGAAAGCCAUAACUUGAGCUAUAUAUGUUCGUUUUAGGCGUAUAAUAUACCGUUUCGAAGCUUACGACGAGACAAAUCAAAUCCAAAAUCAUGUACUCCAUAAAAUCCAUGGGUUUAUGCGCGACAAGCAAUGGAACAGGUGCCAUGGCUUUGUAAAUUUGAAAAAGUGGCAUGGCUUUGUAAAUUUGAUGAAAGUGAUGAGGGUAAUGUAGUCCAAACAUAAGGUGUUUGGCUAGUUAUGAUAGAAAAAACUUUGGGGGGUUAAAGUUGAAAAACGUAAAAGUUUUAUGGCUAAUUUUGUAAAUUUCCCAAAAUGUUUUGUAUUGUUCGGAAAAUAUUAUGAAAUUAUGUAUAAAUCGAUUAUGGUGUUAAAAAUUAUCUGUAGGAUAAGGAAGAAGCUCCCACAAAUAUUGGAUUAAAAUUUUUUUUAGUAUUAGAAUUUAUAAUUUAUUAUGUUGUAUUGUUAAUAUUUUGUGUAUUGGAAUAUUGUGCAUUAGGAAUAUUGCCGGGUUAGAAUUUGGCAUACAUGAUGAAUAGAUUCGUGGUCUUGGUAAUGGUGCUUGAAAGUGAUUAUGUAUGUUAAUUUCUCUGUUAGACUUUUUCUUUGAUUUAUUAGUUUAUGAACAUGAGCACUAAUUGUGCUCCAUCUGUAGAGAGUGCAAAUGAUCCAAAUGACAGUGUUAGGUAAGGUUUUUAUCUUGUUUAAUUAUUAUUUCCUUGAAAAUGCUACAAAUUUGCUAUAUAUUUGAUUUUUGAAAUUUUACAAUGACUAUUAUCAAUAUUGGAGCAUGUUAAUAACAUUUUAUUUAUUUUUUCGUGUAGGAUUUUUGUUUUCAAGGUGACAAAGACAAAUGAAAAGAAUUAAAGAAAUUACAUUUCUUUAUAAUUUCAAUUUGAAUUAUUGUUAUUUGUAAUAUUAAGGAUUUGGUAUUUGUUAUUUGGAUGACUGUAUAAUAUGAUUUGAAUUAUUUGUAUUUUGUUGUGGGAUAUUAAAUUUGUGUUUUUUUUGCUUAAUUUUGUUUAUUAAUUAUAUUUUUCUAAACGAAUUGUAAACGAAUCCUGAUUCGAUUCGAUUCGUUAUGGAUUCGUAAAGGAUAAACGAAUAAUAAACGAAUCCGGAUUCGAUUCGAUUCGUUUAUCAAUUCUAUUAAACGAAUUAAACGAAUUGAACCGAAUAUUCGUUUAAUAAACGAAUCGAAUCCGAAUCUUGAAAUUUCAAUUCUUUUAAUAAACGAAUCGAAUUCGAAUCCAUAGAAUUUUGACCCAAUUCAUUUACGAUUCGAUUCGAAUUCGAUUCGUUUAUUCGUUUUGCCACCCCUAAAACUUACUCAAAAGAAAAUCAUAUUAAGAGAGAAUCAUGAUCCAAUUAGAAGAGUAUGUUUCUUACAUUUCAUAAAUAUUUUUGAACAUCUUUUAAAAUUGUCGGUUCAUUUUAAGGUAAAAUUUCUAACUUUUUGUGGAUGAGUUUUCAUGACUAAUUUGCAUGCAUAUAUAUCUUAAUAAUAUUAAUCAAAUUGAUACGGUGUUCCAUUUGUUUGGAUGGUUAAGAAAAUCUAAGUUUCAGCACAAAUGAUCAUUGGGCUACAAAUCCAACGAUAGACUGGUACUCUCAAUUUAUUCUGCUACCAGAAGAUAGGCCGUCCAUGUGUACACUAUGAAAUGUAAUAUUUUUAUCAUAUUUAGGAGGAUAAACGUCUUAUUAUUUAAGAUAAUAAUUGUUAAUGUGUACAUUAUAAAUACUCAGCAUCUGGUUAUUCUAGAAGGCUCUUUGAUAGGAUUCUAUUGGUAUUUGAAAAAAAAUAUCAAUAUUCUCCCAGUUUAAUUAAUUUUUUUCCAAGAUGUUUAAUAAAUAAAUUUUAAGUAUAAAAAAAUAUUAAUAUUCUCCCAGUUUAAAAAAAUUCACAAAAAUAUUUUUUAUUUUUAAAAAUAAUUACACAAAUUUAUUUUUAUCUUUAUUUAAUUUGAAUUUAACUGCAAGAUUUUUAAAAAUUCAAAAGAAUUUAAAUUAAGAUAAGGUCUUAUCUUUUUAAAAAUAUAUAAAUUUAAUUUUUUAUUGAACAAUAGUUAUACAAUACCUUAUGAUAUUCUUUAUGUUAAAAAGUAAAAAAACAACAAAAUUCACAUUAGCCUUUAAAAUUUAUCAAAAAAAAUAUUUGUAAUUAUUUUUUAAAAAAAAUCAAAUUUUUGUGAUCAUUAAUUCCACCGAAUCAGCGCGCUGGGUUCUCAUUUUGCCGUAAGUCUCAUAAUGGUUGUUCGUGGUGUUGCUUUUGACAGGUAUCCACCUUUGAGUUUGCGACACUAGGAAUUGAAUAAUAAUAAUAAUAAUAAUGGUGAAGCUGACCCAAGAAGUAUCUCGCUGGUCCGCCAUGUCAUUGACGGUGGACAUCCCAUACAUAGCGCAUCCGUAUGUCACAUGUUAGCUCACUGAUUACUUCAGCAAAAUUUAUGACCCCCUCUCUCCACCUCCCUGCUGUCAGCCUGUUCCCGAUAAUUAUUAUUUUUGAGAUGCUCGAAAAUAAUUUUAAAGUUAAAAACUGAUUUUUUUUAUAUAUUAGGAAAAUUUAAAUUUAUUCAUAUUAAUUAUAAAAUAAAAUUAUUUUGAAGAGAUUAUUAUCAUUAUCAAUAAUAUUGAGAUAAAAAAUUAUUAUAUAUAUUAUGUUUAUUAAUAAUUAUUAUAUAUACACAAUAAAAAAUAUUAUACAUAUAUUAAAUAAAUUUUAUUUAAUAUUAUAUCUAAUUUAGAAAUUAUUAAAAUUUUAAUUUAUUCUUUUUUUCAAUAAAUUAUUUCUACAUCACAUCUAAUAAUAAUUAUUUUAAAAAUUAUAAUAUUAUCUAAUUAGUCUUCAUUAUAUAUAAUUUUUCUCGAUUAUGACAUCUUCACUUUAUUAAGGUGAAGAUAUUAACAAAAUAUAAAAAAAAAACACCGACUUUAAUGUAUUAAAAAAUUAAAAUUAUAUUUUUUUAUCCGUUAAUAACUUAAUAUAUUGAAAUCAUCACUAAAUCAGUUGUUAAAUCCAUAAUUACACAGUUACGUUAGCUAUAUCGGACUGCUGAAAGUAAAUGCGGUACCAUAUUAUAGUUGCAACAUAACUGAACCUCACUAAACAAUGAAUAUAUUAUAAAAUAAAAUAUAUUAUAUUAAAUUUUGUAUUUAUAUUUUUUAAUUUAUCUUCUCUUUAAUAUAAUAAAAAAUCUUGAUUAGAAACAUCUGUACACACAUUAACAUUCAUAUGAAGCAUAAACAAAAACUGGUACUUUUACUCGUCUCAUCACAUCAUUCAAACCACUAUAAUAAUGAUAACAUUGCCGUUCUCUCAUCCAAAAUGGCAAAAUCACCAGAAGAAGAACAUCCAGUAAAGGCCUUUGGGUGGGCAGCCCGAGACAGCUCCGGCCAUCUCUCCCCAUUCAACUUCUCCAGAAGGUAAUUAAUAGUUGAGCAUAAUAUAUAUGUGUGAUGCUGCUUUAAAUUUAUUUAAAAUUUUGUUACUGUACGUGUUGAUGAAAUGGUCAUAAACGUGGAUAUGUAAAAUACGGACAGGGAAACGGGUGAUGAGGAUGUGAGGCUGAAGGUAUUGUAUUGUGGGAUCUGCCAUACUGAUCUCCACAACAUCAAGAAUGAAUGGGGCUUCUCUCUCUUCCCUAUGGUUCCUGGGUAUGUACCCAUGAUCUAUCUACCCUUCAAUUUUUGUUUCUUUUGCAUUUUUUUUUGCAUUUGUUUUUGUUUCGGGUCAAACCCAGCUACGCAUGAACAGGCUGUUGUUUCCGUCACGGCGCUCCCUAAUUAUUAACUACGGUACUUGCCUGUGUAUACAGAAAGAGAUUAACCAAGGCCAAGGCUUUGGGAUCUUUUAAUUUGAUACAAAUCGUCCCCAAUCCUAUUUAAUUCUAUCUUAUAUAGAGGUGCUAGUGAAAUAUUGGUAACGAGGGUUUUAAUCUUACCGUUCCAUAUUUGAUGUGAUGAAUAACUGGAAUCUCCUGUUAAAAGUGGCAAACAUAUAUAUUUACGGGUCAUCAUCGUUUAAUAAGAUUUUCUUACAACAAAUUAAACAAAAAUAGAGACACACAAAUUUUAAUGUAAUAUAAAAUAAAAUAUAUUGGAUGAAAAUAUGUAUUUUUCUUAUACAUUAUCUUCAUAACUCUUGGUAGAUUUAUACUCUCUAUCUUAUAAAUAAAGGGUGGAAAUAACAAUUAACUCAAUUAAAGCGUUGUUAGCAUAGAUAUCUUUUUUUUUUCCCAAUAAAAUUAAUUUAUUUCCAUUUGACUCUGUACAAUUUUUAAAUAUUCCAGUGUAGUGGCCAGUGGGGUGCCUUGGCAUCAUUAGAGUGUUGAGAUCACACUAAAGACUUAACCCAUCAAAAUGGUACACCUGUGUAAUUGCGGAAUGGUCAAUUAUGAGAUUUUACUUGAGGGAUAGACGAGGUUGACAAAUAAACGGAGACAUGACUUGUAACUUGAAUUUGCAUUCAAAUGAAGACUUGUAAAUUUUCAAAUUUCAAAUUUCUUUGCUUGAAGAAUUUUAUGAUUGAGAAACUUACUGACAAAAGAAAAGUUGGUGGAGUGGUGUAGUAUAUACGUUUCCAGAAGCUAGCUAGUUAUAUAUUGUCAAAAACAGAAUCAAAUACCUUGUUUCCACUAAAGUAAUUUAUCAUAAACAAAUUGUAUUUAUUUGCAGGCAUGAAAUUGCAGGGGAAGUGACAGAAGUUGGUAGCAAAGUAAGAAAGGUUAAAGUGGGAGAUAAAGUUGGAGUUGGAUGCAUGGUUGGUGCAUGCCACAGCUGCGAGAGCUGUGCCAAUGACCUUGAAAAUUACUGUCCGAAAGUGAUACCCACCUACACUUCCAUUAACACUGACGGAACAAUCACAUACGGAGGCUACUCUGAUCACAUGGUUGCCAAUGAGCGCUACAUUGUUCGAUUCCCUGAUAGCAUGCCCCUUGAUGCUGCUGCUCCCCUGCUUUGCGCCGGGAUUACCGUGUACAGUCCAUUGAAAUACUUUGAACUAGCAGAACAAGGAAAGCAUGUAGGCAUCGUUGGCCUUGGCGGGCUUGGUCAUGUCGCUGUCAAAUUUGCCAAGGCUUUUGGGGCCAAAGUGACAGUAAUUAGCACCUCUCCAAGCAAGAAGACUGAAGCUCUUGAACAUCUUGGCGCUGAUUCAUUUUUGAAUAGCCGUGACCCUGACCAAUUGCAGGUAAUUUAAUUAGAUUCACGCAUAUAUUGGAGAAAAAUAAAAAAUAAAAUGCAUUCCUUAAUUUUAAUAUAUAUUUUGUAAUAACUUCAUCAGGGUGCCAUGGGCACAUUGGAUGGUAUUAUUGACACGGUGUCCGCUGUGCACCCCAUUUUGCCAUUGCUCGGUCUAUUAAAGUCCAAGGGCAAGCUUGUUCUGGUUGGUGUUCCGGACAAGCCACUCGAGCUACCUGUGAUUUCCUUAAUUAUGGGUAAGUUCUAACAAAAUUCUUCGGAAACUUGUGGUCUAAAACUUGUAAUUAAUAUAAGUCAUUUGAUAACAUAAAAUGACAUAGCAGGGAGGAAGACGGUGUCAGGGAGCAGCAUUGGGGGAAUGAAAGAGACGCAAGAGAUGAUUGAUUUUGCAGCAAAACACAAUAUAACAGCUGACAUUGAGGUUAUUUCGAUGGAUUAUGUCAAUACGGCAAUGGAGCGGCUUGCCAAGGCUGAUGUUCGGUAUCGAUUUGUCAUUGAUAUUGCAAACACCUUGGCUGCCACCAAACCUUGAAGAAUCAGAAUCAGAAUCAGAUUGGUGUCUUCAAUUCACAACUUUGUUCCAUGAUCCACUUUGCUAUAUGUAAUGCUCCCUCGAUCAUUACACUCUUUUAGCGCUUAAAUUACUUUUAAUUUUCAGAUACAUCGACCCUAAUUAUGUCGUGAUUGCCAAAAAAGUAUAAGGGUGCGUUUGGCACACUGUAUUAUAUUAUGUUGUAUUGUAUUAUUUUUAUGCUGGUGUGUUGCAUU
rnacentral:lncRNA from 1 species